AACGAACGCUGGCGGCAUGCCUAACACAUGCAAGUCGAACGAGACCUUCGGGUCUAGUGGCGCACGGGUGCGUAACGCGUGGGAACCUGCCCUUAGGUUCGGAAUAACUCCCCGAAAGGGGUGCUAAUACCGGAUAAUGUCUUCGGACCAAAGAUUUAUCGCCUUUGGAUGGGCCCGCGUUGGAUUAGCUAGUUGGUAGGGUAAAAGCCUACCAAGGCGACGAUCCAUAGCUGGUCUGAGAGGAUGAUCAGCCACACUGGGACUGAGACACGGCCCAGACUCCUACGGGAGGCAGCAGAGGGGAAUAUUGGACGAGGGGCGAAAGCCUGAUCCAGCAAUGCCGCGUGAGUGGUGAAGGCCUUAGGGUUGUAAAGCUCUUUUACCCGGGGUGAUAAUGACAGUACCGGGAGAAUAAGCACCGGCUAACUCCGUG
rnacentral:rRNA from 1 species